ACCAAAACAAAUUAAACGUAUGAAAGAAUAAACUAACUUAAAGGAAAUACUAUGAAUGAAUGCUAUAAGGAAAACUAAUAAAUUCUUUGGCUUCUACUCGCCGUCUUCCUGCAGAACGGGCUCGGGAACCAAGUCCUCCUGAUCUGAAAUGGUUAAGUAAGGAAUGAACUACACUACCCCAGUAAAGACAUCACACUAUCUCACUGU
rnacentral:lncRNA from 1 species